rnacentral:rRNA from 1 species
CACGGGUGAGUAACACGUAUCCAACCUGCCGUCUACUCUUGGACAGCCUUCUGAAGGAAGAUUAAUACAAGAUGGCAUCAUGAGUUCACAUGUUCACAUGAUUAAAGGUAUUCCGGUAGACGAUGGGGAUGCGUUCCAUUAGAUAGUAGGCGGGGUAACGGCCCACCUAGUCAACGAUGGAUAGGGGUUCUGAGAGGAAGGUCCCCCACAUUGGAACUGAGACACGGUCCAA